rnacentral:rRNA from 1 species
AUUGAACGCUGGCGGUAGGCUUAACACAUGCAAGUCGAGCUAGAAAGCCCUUCGGGGUGAGUACAGCGGCGGACGGGUGAGUAACGCGUAGGAAUCUACCCAGUAGUGGGGGACAACUAGUGGAAACGCUAGCUAAUACCGCAUACGCCCUAAGGGGGAAAGCGGGGGAUCUUCGGACCUCGUGCUAUUGGAUGAGCCUGCGUAAGAUUAGCUUGUUGGUGGGGUAAUGGCUCACCAAGGCGACGAUCUUUAGCUGGUCUGAGAGGAUGAUCAGCCACACCGGGACUGAGACACGGCCCGGACUCCUACGGGAGGCAGCAGUCGGGAAUAUUGCGCAAUGGGGGAAACCCUGACGCAGCCAUGCCGCGUGUGUGAAGAAGGCCCUAGGGUUGUAAAGCACUUUCAAUUGGGAGGAAAAGCUAAUGGUUAAUAGCCAUUAGCCCUGACGUUACCUUUAGAAGAAGCACCGGCUAACUCCGUGCCAGCAGCCGCGGUAAUACGGAGGGUGCAAGCGUUAAUCGGAAUUACUGGGCGUAAAGCGCGCGUAGGCGGCUCUUUAAGUCGGAUGUGAAAGCCCCGGGCUCAACCUGGGAACUGCAUCCGAUACUGGAGGGCUAGAGUGUAGGAGAGGGAGGUAGAAUUCCAUGUGUAGCAGUGAAAUGCGUAGAUAUAUGGAGGAAUACCAGUGGCGAAGGCGGCCUCCUGGCUUAACACUGACGCUGAGGUGCGAAAGCGUGGGGAGCAAACGGGAUUAGAUACCCCGGUAGUCCACGCCGUAAACGAUGUCUACUAGCUGUAGGGGUACUUGAGACCUUUGUAGCGCAGCUAACGCACUAAGUAGACCGCCUGGGGAGUACGGCCGCAAGGUUA